rnacentral:rRNA from 1 species
CCUACGGGUGGCAGCAGUGAGGAAUAUUGGUCAAUGGUCGGGAGACUGAACCAGCCAAGUCGCGUGAGGGAUGAAGGUCCAGUGUGUCGUAAACCUCUUUUGUCUGGGAAUAAAGUCUUGCACGCGUGGGCUUUUGUGUGUACCAUAUGAAUAAGCAUCGGCUAACUCCGUGCCAGCAGCCGCGGUAAUACGGAGGAUACGAGCGUUAUCCGGAUUUAUUGGGUUUAAAGGGUGCGGAGGUGGAGUGUUAAGUCAGGUGUGAAAGUUUGGGGCUCAACCGCAGCAUUGCAGUUGAAACUGGCAGUCUUGAGUUGGGGAGAGGUAUGCGGAAUGCGUGGUGUAGCGGUGAAAUGCAUAGAUAUCGCGAAGAACUCCGAUUGCGAAGGCAGCACACCGGAUUGCAACUGACGCUGAGGCACGAAAGUGUGGGUAUCAAACAGGAUUAGAUACCCGAGUAGUC